rnacentral:rRNA from 1 species
CACGUAGGGCGCGAGCGUUGUCCGGAAUUAUUGGGCGUAAAGAGCUCGUAGGCGGCCUGUUGCGUCCGCUGUGAAAGCCCGGGGCUUAACCCCCGGGUCGGCAGUGGAUACGGGGCAGGCUAGAGGUAGGUAGGGGGAGAAUGGAAUUCCCGGUGUAGCGGUGAAAUGCGCAGAUAUCAGGAGGAACACCGGUGGCGAAGGCGGGUCUCUGGGCCGAUACUGACGCUGAGGAGCGAAAGCGUGGGGAGCGAACAGG